rnacentral:lncRNA from 1 species
CUUUUCACAGGAAUAAACCAGUGUGGAGCACAUAUGGAGAAUCCUCUCUCUUUACUUCUUUACCUUCGCCUGCUUAACAGUGACAGAAGGAUACAGCCCCUUCUGGAUCAGGCUUGACCAGGAAAAGCAGCCUAGCCCAACUUGGUGGUUGCCUGCAGGGACAGGUGUUCCUUCUGCCUUUCCUCAACCCACAGAAACCAAGAUGAGCUUUUGCCAGGCAUCAUUCUGCAGAUCUUAAUUUUUUUGAAUGAAAGAAUAAUCUAUCAGCAGUUCAGCACAACACUUUAGGUGAGAUAUUGUCUAAAAUGGGAGGCUGAAAAUUUUUGGUUACUUUAACAUGAUGCUGCUCUUCACUGCUGUGGCACAGAAAAUAUUGAAAUGCUUUUCUUUUUCUAUUUUUUUUUUUUUUCUGGC